CCUGGCCCCUUCCCAAGGAGAAAGGGCUGAUGAAAAUAAAAAGUUCAGGGCGAUGUUUAUCUCCCAGUAUUUCCUGCUCAACCUGAAAUUCAAGCACGGGGAAAUCUCCUUAGUCUCUCAGAUUCUCUGGUUCCUCAUUUAUUAAGCCCAUCUCUUGAUGUAGUUCUGAAGAUUAAGUGAGAUCAUCUGCGGCACGUUCCUAUACUUUCCUGAAGAUGGCCAGCACCCGACUCGGGCACGUUUCCAUUCCUUCUCUGUAACCAGGUCAGUCCCCGGGGAGGCAGAGAUCAAUAUAUGCACAAGAGAUCUCGGCAGGCAGCAAAAUGGAGUCUCUCAUGUCAAGCAGGAGCCGUGUCAAGCAGUGACACGAGCAGUUCGGGUACUGCAGCUAGGACAUAUCUCCAGGUCCAGCAUCAGCUGACACCCCAGAACUGAUAAUAAGCAGAAGCAGAGGAAGUCUGUGGGUUGUUUGUUUUUUAAAUCCCUUUAAAAGGGAGGAUUUGGGCAGCAAGCUGUCAGACUCCUCAGACGUCGUGAUCUCUCUAUGUCUGACCACUUAAAAAAGGCGAUUGCGCUGAAGACUCUGCCCAGUGGAUCUCGGAACAGAACCGGGACCCUUCCCUGCUGGAACAUCAGCAGCUGUGAGUGCCGACAGCGGACCCGGACUAGACGGAGGCCUCGUCCCCGCUGCGCGCCCACCGACCGACUUCACCUUUGCUGCACCGUGCAGAGCUAACAAAGGGGCAUGAAGGAAAGUGGCAAAGAAGAAGAGAAGAAGAAGCAACAGCAACCCGCAGAAGCAGAACAGCAGAACCUACAAGACGUCCAGCGGUGACCUUGGUACAGGGUACAGCAAAGGUGCCAAGCAACAGUCAGAAUCUGUGGACGAUCUCCAGCCCUGUUCCUAACAGGCUCUGUGGUCAUUGCCUCCAAAGGGGCAGGAAGAAGCAUGGAAAGCAGAGGUCUGUAGAAGUUUGGGGACUUCUUGGGUUUGUCUUCCUAGAAGAUUUUAUCAGUUGAGAAGAUUAGGGCUUGAGGAGCGGGGGCAAGGCCAUUGUGGGGAGAGAGACAGAAGCAGGAAAAAGACUCCUAUGGCCUGGGAGCAGGAUGGAAGUAAAGAGAAGGGCCAGGCUGGAAUUUCUUGCCAGGUUAGCUUCAUGAGGACUCUGAAUGAAAACUAUAGUAAUAUAGUUUUAAUACAGAGAUGAGAUUUCCCAUAAACUUUGUGAACUGAGGUUUACGUCAAUGUGCAGGUAUUUUCUUCUCUUGAUACAAAUGGAAGGCUUGAGGUUUCAGGAGUACGGUAGGUUUCUUACUACUUUGAUAGAGGUAAGGAAAGAAAGCAGGUUAGAAUCAGAGAAUUGCUUUCAAGGUUACUGACCGGCCAACUAAAAGAACAGUUUCAUUUUAGGUUUUUUCUGCCUUUGGAGUAGGGAGUGGCCCAGCUACCCUGACUGGAAGGAUGCAUGGGAGGAGGGAGGGUCCUCUCCAGAACAUUACCUAUGCCAUUUCCUGACUGCUAAUGAGUAGUUAAUACAUUUUGUUCUUGAUUUCAAGCUUUUAAAAACUAAGUUUCAAAAUAAAAAUUUAUUAAAAAGAUCCUCACCAUAGUAGGUAGGAUUUUCUAAUGUCCCAUCUCACUGAAAGUUCCCUUGGAACGGGAGGAGGGAGCCCGGAGGAAGCCUUAUCAGGAAGGGCAGUCGAGGUGGACCUAAUAUCCCUGAGGAGCAGCCAGGGCACAGGGCUGUAAGAGCACCUGGCUCCUGGGUCCCAAACAGACCAGGAUUGGCCAAUUGCCACUGACAGAAUCCAAAGGCAGAGAGAUGAGUGGUGGUGAAAUAAGAAAGGAAUUUAGUUCAGUGAGGCCCACACUGGAAAGGAGAGGACUAACGUCUCAAAGUUGCCUCCCAAGUGACGAAAAUACUUCCAGGUUUAUAUAAGGAAAAUGUGCAACAAAGGUUGGUGGGUCCCUGAAGGUGGGCAGUGAACGUCAAAUCCAUCACUGCCUUGGAGUCGAUUGCACAGGCUCAGGGCAGCCCUUAUUGCUUGAGGGGUAGUUUCAGUCCCCACCAGGGGAUGUUACACCCGUAGGGUCUCCACCCUGAGCGGAGAGACAAGCUAGAAAGAACCCAACUAAAAAGUCUGAGGUCACCAUUGAGGCAGCAGAAGUCCUCGUUCAAGGCCGAUGUGACAGGGUGUGUAUGAGAAAGAGGUCAGGCCUUCCCUAGACCUCCCAGAGCCGAGACUCUGUAGAGAAAGCCCCUGACUGGGGUCUCCUUAGGAAACAGGCCACCUUCCCCAUUUGUGGAAACAAAGCCAAUCAACAGUAGAGAAAGAGGUGGCCUCUAUCAAGAAGAAGGGACAACAUUGUCCUAGGCAGAAACAAUCCUGCCUGCCUCCUUCCAGUCACAGAGCGGAAGUCCCCAGGCCGGUGUGUGAGACAGCAGGUCACAGCCUCCUCCAUUCCCAGCCUCCACUCAGCCCCUGCCCGAGUGGGAGGCGCAGGUUGAACAUGACACUGAAGUUUCAUAAAUAAAGAUUUUAAUUGUAUAGGAGAUUGAAGUUUGUUAAAUGAACAUGACCAAAAUAUAAGAACUAGAAUGAGAUUGUUUUAAUGUCAGAAAACUUGUGGAGUUAGGUUGAGAUAUUGCUAAGUUAGCCUAACUAUGAACAGGUACGGUGGCAGACAAGGGAACGGGAUGGUGAUCAAGACAGUACAGUUCACAGAAGCUUUGGGAAAAAGAAAAAUUAUAUUUUGUUCAUACACCAGUGAGUUGAGCUUGCUCAUUAAAAAUAAUUAUGUUUAUUAACAGUUUAAUUUUUUGUCCUUGGUCUAUUUUUCUAUUGGGCCAUUCUCUCUAUCUAUUAAAUAAU